rnacentral:rRNA from 1 species
UACGGAGGAUCCGAGCGUUAUCCGGAUUUAUUGGGUUUAAAGGGUGCGUAGGCGGCCUUUUAAGUCAGCGGUGAAAGUCUGUGGCUCAACCAUAGAAUUGCCGUUGAAACUGGGGGGCUUGAGUGCAGGAGAGGUAAGCGGAAUUCCUGGUGUAGCGGUGAAAUGCGUAGAUAUCAGGAGGAACACCAGUGGCGAAGGCGGCUUACUGGACUGUAACUGACGUUGAGGCUCGAAAGCGUGGGGAGCAAACAGG